UCGAGAAUCUUCGGCAAUGGGCGCAAGCCUGACCGAGCGACGCCGCGUGCGGGAUGAAGGUCUUCGGAUUGUAAACCGCUGUCGGAGGGGAUGAAGUGCCGUCAAGUAAUUCAUAAUCUUGGCGGUUUGACAGAGCCUCGGAGGAAGCACGGGCUAAGUUCGUGCCAGCAGCCGCGGUAAUACGAACUGUGCGAACGUUAUUCGGAAUCACUGGGCUUAAAGGGUGCGUAGGCGGCGGCACAAGUCAGGUGUGAAAUCCCCCGGCUCAACCGGGGAACAGCGCUUGAAACUAGGUCGCUCGAGUGAGGUAGGGGUGCAUGGAACUUCCGGUGGAGCGGUGAAAUGUGUAGAGAUCGGAAGGAACGCCGGCGGCGAAAGCGGUGCACUGGGCCUUGUCUGACGCUGAGGCACGAAAGCUAGGGGAGUGAACGGGAUUAGAUACCCCCGUAGUCC
rnacentral:rRNA from 1 species